GUCUUUUUGAAUGUAAAUGCUUUGUUCCAGACGGACAGGGAGUCGCUAUACGGCUGUCCAAGCAAAUCCACGUCUGUAACAGAGACUGAAGAAGAUUGUAACAGAGUCCAACAGUCUGCAGUGGCCACCACAGUCCACCGUCUUCACAUCACAAGGACAAUUUCAACAUGUCUGUGAAGUCUCCUUGUCCUUGUACUCAUGCCUUGAUGAACAAGUUUGUUUCAUGAAGAAGGUGAUAUUCCAACAGAGCUGAAAAGGACAGCCUUCGCUGGCUUACAUUUGAAGAGCAGAGCAGCUGAAGAAAAGCUGUGACUCCACCGUGAGAUGGACUCUGUGAUUCAUCACCUCCACCAGCAACACACUGACCUGCAUUCAUCCAUAGAUGACACUCAGGACUCUGGUUCCACAGCUGUUCUUGUUCACAGCAGCAUCCACUUAGAGAGGAAACUGGAUAAUGCAAUGAUGAUGUUCCAGCGUCAUGUUGUUGCUCCUCCUUCUCAUGCUCACCUGCCAGAGUUUAACUCCGCCUCUCAGACAGUCAGGUCACCUGAUCUGCAUGUUUUGCUGUACGAUGACAUCAUCUUGACGUUGACGAGGAGAAAAACUAGUUUUGUCCUGCAGAUGGCGAUCUUGCACCGUGUUCAGAGAGCCGACACUUUGAUGCUGCUGCUCUACUCAACUUACUUUAGCCUGGGUUGGACUUUAUAUGAGCAGCUUCCACUCUGGUUUCACUGUUAAACACACUUGUUUGAUUUCACUUGGAAAAGCUGAAAAAUAAAUAUUUUAUUGCAAAAUUA